UCAAAUGUAGAGACAGUGCAGCAGAAGCAAUGGAAAAAUCAAGUGGCUAACAAUAAUAAGAAGGGGAAGAAUGGUGGUAGAAGAAGAACUGCUUUGAAACCACUUCCGACUAUCUCAGAUAUAAACCAAAAGGAAAGAAUCGAUAUGCCUCUGCAGAAUUCUACUCCAAUUCCUGUUCUUGACUUAAACCAGAAGGCAAAGACUUCUUCUAGGAAGAAAGCCAGUCAACAUAACUCGACCCCGGUUUUCGACUUGAACCAGAAGGAAAGAAUGUGCAGUGGGAGAGAUGCUAGCGAGAGAAACAUCACUCCAUUUUUUGACUUGAACCAAAUUUCGGUAACUGAUAGGAACUUAUGAUAGCUAAACUCUACAAAUUUAAUUUUUCACUACAAUCUUGACCACCCCCUUCUUCCUAACAAUCUCUAUAUUUAUUUUGGUUCAGAUAGAGGAAGAGGAAUUGCAGACCCAUUACGAGCCGCUGAGAGUUGAUGAGCUGAAGAAAAGCCUUCUUCGAGGAGGGAACGAUGAGCAGCAAAACGAUAUCAAGAUUUCUGCAUGCAGGAGUAUUGGAGAUGGUCCAAGUCGAGCUGGUAAAAGAAAAAUUUCAUGGCAAGAUCAGGUAGCUUUAAGGGUUUGAGCUCAUUGUAAUCUCUAGUGUCACUUAGAACAAUACCAUAUGGGUGAUGGGGUUGAGGCAUUUCCUUUGCCUGAAAGCCACCAAGGUUGAUUGUAAUUCCUUCUCUGAUUCUGUAUUUUUCUAUGUAAAGGGAAAGUAAAGUAGUUUUUGUACAUGAUAAUACAUUUAAAAAGAAUGAUGAUGAGAUAUGGAAAAGAAUCAAAAUGGCAAUCCUUCAAUCUUUUGUCUACUUUUGGCUUGUAAGUUAUCAGAUGAGUAGAUGGUACAUCUUUAACUGUAACAAUAGCUGAAAAAGGAAAUUGGAUUUGUUCUUAAAAAGCUGUGCUAAUUCUUUCUGCAAACCAAAUUGUCAUUUUAUAAGAAGAAAAGAUAGAAAAGAUAAUACGUUGAAUCCAUAUGCUAACGGCCUUUUUAGGAUUUUAAUAUCUAUGAGUUCUUUUAACACAAAUACUGUAGGAUCAAGACUGUAUAUUAGUUAGUUUGAACUCUUAUGAUAUUAAAAAAAAACACAAAUUACGUUCAGAUCAACCAAAGAAAACGUGAAAACUUUCACAACUGCAACAUAGUAUAUGAAAACUAAAAGUUGGAUUUGGAUCUAUGUAACAAAAAUGUUAAUGAUAAUGAGAAUCUCAAUUAAUAGUAGGAGAAACAUAAAAGUAGCAGAAAAAAGAAACAAGUCUAAUAAAGUUCAUGUAAAGUUAUAAGUUGGAGCAGCUGUGGUCCAUAUCACUUUUAGAGUCAGUCAAGGAUAGUGUGCAAAAUCCAAUAUGGCAUUAAUUUAAUUUUUUCCACCAAGAGUUUAGGGAGCCAUAUAAUCCUCCAUUGAUCACAAAAUUACACAUACCUAAACACAAAGUCAAGCAUAUUAAGAGUAUCCAAGAUUAGAACAAAUUAUCUUCAUUCUUAUUGGAAGAAAAAGAGUGCCUAAUGAUCAAUAAUUAGUAAUGCUAUGAAAUCUAUAUAAAAAAAAUUGGGAAAAAACAAAUAAUACAGUGCAAUUUUGUGUACAACACACACUUAACCUUCAAUCUUUUGUAAAUUUUGACUUAUUCAAAAUCAUGCUAAAUGUUAAAAUUGGUGAAAAUAUAUACAAAUUAUAGCAAAUUUAAAAUCAUAUCACUGAUACACAUUGGUAAAUACUUUAUUGUUAAGAGAAUUUAAUAUAUUUUUGCUAAUAUUUUGGUUCAUUUUACUAUAUUUGAAAAUGUCUCAAUUUUUAUUCGAUUAAAAACUAAUUUAAAGUUUUUAAAAAAUGGGUUAAUAUUCAAAAAUAUAUUUCCAUAUAUGAUUGUAUAUUUUUCUAUAUAUGAGUUGUAUAGUUUAAAUUUUGAUAUGUAUUUUAGUUCAAUAUUAGGUUGUAGGGCAAAAUGCAUUUUUGGUUUUUGAGAUUUGGUGUUAUUGUCUAUUUGGUCUACGAAGUUUCAAUAAAGGUGACACUUUUGAGUUCUCAAGGUUUGAAAAAUAGUUCUAAAUGGUCUUUAUGUUAAAGUUGACUAACGAAAAAAUGACGUGACACUCAAAGAAAGCAAUUGUUAUAAUAAUUUUAUAUUUAUUUGUGUUGCUUUAUUUUAUUUUCCUUUGUCUUUCUUCUCCAGCUUCCCGUCCCACAGGUUUCUUUUCCUCCAUGUAGAUAGAUUUUCGAUUAGUACCAUUUUUGUUAUAUGUUUAGUUCUUUAUUCUCUCAAAAUUUGAAAUUUGCAAAGACCACUUACUCCCCGGCUAUUUUUGGUAUUUUAUUAUGUAUUAAUACUUUGUGCAAAUAUUUCAAAGAUAGACUGAAGUUUUGCCAAAAAAAAAAAAUUAUGAGAUUUAAUUGUUUGUUAUUUAUUCCUAUAUUUCUUUAGGUUUACAAACUACUAACUCGUUCAAUGAACAAACUCCAAACAAGAGUGGUAGCAAAUUUAAGUAUUAGAAUUUGAGCUAUGAUAUAGGAGAUCAAUUAGGACAUAGAAUUAAAUUUGCUAUCAUGUCUAGUGGUUCGAGAUAAAUUUAAUUAUAUGUCAUUAGCAGCUACAAUGGAAGGGCAUGUUGCUUUUGCUAGAGGUUUCAUGCUUGAACGUGUUCUAUUUAUACCCACGUUACAUCGUAUUUUGAUAUAUGUGUCUCAACUAAUUGAAGAUGCUACUUGUUUUACCUGGUUUGCACCUUCUUUACUGCUACAACCUUACAUUCUGGAAAUUUGAUUGGCACCGGUCCACAAAAAAAUGGACUCUAUCGUUCUCGAGGAAGUUCUACAGUAGACUUUGGUGAAAGUUCCAGAAUUAUUAGAAUUUGACUAUGACAUAGGAGAUUGGGACACCCAUCAGACAGAGUAGCAAAUUUAAUUACUGUCACUCAUCUUAGUUGAAUAAAAAAAAAUUGGACAAAGCAUGAGUCACUUGUCCUCCGACUGAAAGAAGUCGUGAUAAUUACUGUUAGUGACAGUAAAGCUAGCCGUAUCUUUGAACUUAUUGAUUGUGAUUUGUGGGAGCCAUGUAACCAAACGGUCCAAACCCCAUCUUCAUAUGGUGAUCAUUGUUUUUUAUUACAUUAGUCGAUGAUUUUUCAAGAGUUGUUUAACUGUACAAGAUAAAACAGAAGUUUAUAUAGUUUUUCUUUCAUUCUUUGCCAUGAUUGGAUGUCAAUUUGAAACCGCCCUUAAAUUAGUGAGAAGUGAAAAGGGCUUUGGAAAAUAAACCAACUUAGGUCAAUGGAAGUCUUACCUCCGAGCAAGGAAGAAAUUUCUUGUUAAUUUUUAACAACCACAAGGUUGAGAAUGUGUUGAUUAUAAUGAAACUUUUGCCCUAAUGGCCAAAAUGGUAAUUGGUCGAACAUUUUUACCAGUCAUAGCUGCAACCACAAGGUUAGAUACGUGGUGUGUUGCCUCGUAACAUCUUUAUAUAGAUCUUUAUAUAGUUUACGUGAAGCUCCGAGGGGUUGGUUUUCUAGGUUGGCUACUUCACCAAAUGAUUUUCUUCACCUAGUUGGACAUUUCUGAUCCUCAUGCUCCAACUUGGCCAGGAUAUUCAGAAAUGUAUUUUCUUAUAUAAUAUGAUAUAUAAUUUGUAUAUUUUUCUAUUUAUUUAUUUUGAUAGGUACAUACUUUACUUCAAUAUGGGGUUGCCUAUAUAUUCACCUCAUCCAAAAUAAAAACCUAAGGGAAAUACCUUUCCUUGACCGUUAAUUAAAUUGGAGAAUUCAAUCUCUUAUAUAUAUAUUAUACAUUUAAAAAUAAAAGAGCUAAAUUAUUACAACCAAAGAGACAUGAACUGAAUUGUUGUUUUUCGGAUAAAAAAUAUACCUUUUAACUUAAACCCUAACACAGUAAGAAAAUUGAACUCUAUUAUUGUUCAACAGCUCUAGGAAAACAAAUCAAGACUGCAAAUCCAUGAAAAAAUAACUCAUGGGUUUGGUUCAUUUACAAUUAGUAACCUACCAAACUCCUUCAUGGAGCAUUGGUCAGUCAUAUUAAUGAAAUUUGUCAAUCCAAGUUCUGAGUUUGUGACAUUAAGAUCAGUUUAGGAGUAACAAAAGCUAUGGAUGAAAAAACAAUUGAAAGUUUUUUUUCCUUCCAGGAAACAGGAACUGUCAAGAGGAAAUUACAAAUGAUGAAGCAAAAGAAGAUGAGCCUAAUAGCAGAAGUCAGGUAUAAUCUUCAUAUUAUUACUUUUUAUUUUUGUUGAUCUUCACAAGGAGUAAGUGAAUUGUUUAGAACUAAAUAAGAGUCUAUGUUUAUGUUGAAGAUUCUUAAGGAAGAGAUGUGAGUACUUAAUGAAGAACCAACCAUCAACAAAAGAGACCAUUAUUCAAAUGGAGAGACAGUGCAGCAGAAGCAAUUGAAAAAUCAAGUGGCUAACAAUAAUAAGGAGAAGAAUGGUGGUAGAAGAAGAACUGCUUUGAAACCGAUCCCGACCAUCUCAGAUAUAAACCAAAAGGAAAGAAUCGAUAUGCCUCUGCAGAAUUCUACUCCAAUUCCUGUUCUUGACUUAAACCAGAAGGCAAAGACUUCUUCUAGGAAGAAAGCCAGUCAACAUAACUCGACCCCGGUUUUCGACUUGAACCAGAAGGAAAGAAUGUGCAGUGGGAGAGAUGCUAGCGAGAGAAACAUCACUCCAUUUUUUGACUUGAACCAAAUUUCGGUAACUGAUAGGAACUUAUGAUAGCUAAACUCUACAAAUGUAAUUUUUCACUACAAUCUUG
rnacentral:lncRNA from 1 species